UCGAAAACACUUUUGAAUCUCUAUGGCUGGAUUGUGUUCUGUUUAUGAUGUGUGAGGACUGAAAGAACUCAUGGGGGCAGAAGAGUCGACAUUUUCAAAUUCAGCUUACGUGCAAACCAAAGAUGUGAACAUUAUCCAGAUAGUUGGUAGUCGAUUUAACAGGAACAUAUUAUAACCAAUGUCCUAACAAUUUGUAUUGACAAAAUCUGUUUAAUUUAGUAACUAACAAGAGUUGAUUUUACUGGUUGCAGAAUAAAUUGCAAGGCAUCCCUUUAAUUGAGCAUGUUACCAAAAUGUCGAGUAGAUGUGGUAGUUUAAAUUGCAAAAUCAACAGAGCACUGAAAUGUGACAUACACAGUCAUGGGUUUUGUUUGAGUAGUUUUUACUCCGAACAUGCGCAUUUGUCGGCCAACUUAUUUUUUUAGAAUUUUGCUCUGGGGACAAUAUUUUAACCGUUGGCAUUAGGUAAAGCAAUCUUCUAAGCCUAUAUAUAGGCACGGGCAGAUAUCCUGGUAUUUGAGUAAAUUGAGUGAGAUAAGAUGAUACCUCACUUCCUUACAACUUAACUUUAUGGUUGGCUAAUCCUUUAAUGAGACAUCAGAGCAUUUUCUUUUGAGGUUUUGGUGUUGGCAUGUUAUCUUUCAAAAGCCUCUUAUGCUAGCUUUCAUGUGUUUACAUUUAAUUGGCCUUCUCUUAUCUGGUGAAAGUUUUCCUUUUUGUAGGUUUUAAUGUGGAUGAUAUUGCUUCUCUUAUUUCUUGGGUGCUCUUUUUCCCUUCUAACUUCUGUCAUUCAGCUGUUUCAGUUGUUUUUAGGGUACUUGGGGUUUUGGUUGUUUGGGUGGUGUUUUGGUGUGGGGGGGAAUUAAGCAUCAUUAAGAGUUCUUGAUUUUGACACUGCUGAACUGCCCCUCAGCUGAAUGCUUGAUUAGCACAUCUCUGUUUAACAUUCACUUCUUGCCUAUUGCUUUCAUGUUGACUAUGAGUUUAAUGCAAGCACUGGGACUCUGGAGAUGUCUAGUCGCUAUGAUAAAGAACAUUUCAUGGCAAAUCUAUCCUUGUUGUUGCAGUGGUCUCCAUACUCAAAUGAAGCAGAUCUUGUCAGGCAAGCAAGUUACUUCUCAUUAUUUUCCCCUGUAUCCCUUAUUGUUAUUUAUUUUUUUCUUGACAAAACCUCAUUCAUCUAUUGUAAGUACAAGUCUUGCAUAUUUUAUUUUACUUUUUCUCUCUUAUUAUUUUGGUUUAUCAUUUCACAGAUUUGAUUUAUCAAAGUCUUGAUUGUCACACUUGUUGGCUUUAAUAUUCUAAUAAAUCCAUCCUGUGAGUUUUGUGAUGGGGGCCUGGUAUACAUGGCCAUAAUGAGAAAGCAACGAAUUCUGUUGGCUUUUGUGGAAGAUCAAGAUUAUGAUUAUGCUUGCUGUGCUUAUGGAUUAGCAACUUUCAUUUCCUUCUUUUGGUGCAAUCCCUAUUAUUUUACUAUUGAGCAUCUGCAGUUUUUUCGAAUGAUAUUUUGACGGUCAAGUAGUUCUGGUCUGGUUGAUUAGCUUUCUGAUUUGAACACUUCGUCAUGGCUAUAGUGACAAGUGCAAUUCUGGAAAAGUUAGCUGCUACUUGUCAAACAGUCUGCUGACCUGGCUAUCUUGGGAUUUAAGAGAGAAGUUGCUAGCUAGAGACAUUUUUUUAUCUGAUAAUUCAUGUGUAGCUCUUAAGAGACAUUGUACAAUUGCCGGAAUCGUAUUGUGUUCAAGUCUUAAAUAAAUCAUUCCGUUCUUCUUAUGGUAGUUUGAUGACAUUGGAUCUCAUGGUACAAAAAUUAUUAUUUAUAAUUUGUGGUUGAAUGAUGUUGGGAAAAUGGAGUUAGACUUUGAUGCCGAUCCCCAGUGGAGGUAUUAGGAAAGUCGAAUCACUUCCUGCCUGGAAAUCAGUAAACGAGCAGCACAUCGCUAAUCAACUCCAUAUUCUCUUCGGGUAUAUGACAUCCAAUUUGAAUGAAAGUACUUGGAGCGAAGUGACCUUUCAAAAUAAAAGUUGUAAGUGUGGUAAGCGUGGUAAGCGUGUUGCUGUGAGAAUAUCGGAAUCUUCAAGAAACAAACACAAGCUCUACUGUAAUUAUGAGGAUAAAAUAUGUGAUUUGUUUUCUUGGUGUUUGCCUACAAGCGAUGUGCCUUAUUCUAUCACAAAGGCUCCGCCUGCAAUACGUGAAGAUGACAUGAGAAAUGUUAAGUAUUUACUUGAGCAUUUGAAGGAUAAAUUCAAGAACACUAAUGUGAAUGGAUUGAGGCAUAAUGUGUACCAUUUAAAUGUCCUGCUACUUUUUGUUUGUCUGUUAUUUAUUAUUUUAUUUGGACUACUUGUCCAGAGAAAGUAGAUGGUUCAAACAUUGUGUUGUGCUGGCUCUAAUGGACACAAUCGCAUCAUCUUUUUGUGAAC